AUUGAACGCUGGCGGCAGGCCUAACACAUGCAAGUCGAGCGGAUGAAGGGAGCUUGCUCCUGGAUUCAGCGGCGGACGGGUGAGUAAUGCCUAGGAAUCUGACUGGUAGUGGGGGAUAACGUCCGGAAACGGGCGCUAAUACCGCAUACGUCCUGAGGGAGAAAGUGGGGGAUCUUCGGACCUCACGCUAUCAGAUGAGCCUAGGUCGGAUUAGCUAGGUGGUGGGGUAAAGGCCUACCAAGGCGACGAUCCGUAACUGGUCUGAGAGGAUGACCAGUCACACUGGAACUGAGACACGGUCCAGACUCCUACGGGAGGCAGCAGUGGGGAAUAUUGGACAAUGGGCGAAAGCCUGAUCCAGCCAUGCCGCGUGUGUUAAGAAGGUCUUCGGAUUGUAAAGCACUUUAAGUUGGGAGGAAGGGCAGUAAGUUAAUACCUUGCUGUUUUGACGGUACCAACAGAAUAAGCACCGGCUAACUUCGUG
rnacentral:rRNA from 1 species